ACAUUCGUGGUUCAUUGGUAGAAUUCUUGCCUUUUAUGCAGGCAACCCAGGUCCGAUUUCUGGCCAGUGCA
rnacentral:tRNA from 1 species